AUGCAAGAACUGACGGAGUUUGACACAAGUGGCAGAGGGGGUUCUAGCAGUGAGCAAGAAGCAUCUGCUUCCACCUCAUCGGAGAGAACCACAGAAUCAGAAUUGUGGAGUCACAGGAUGGCUGAGAUUGGAAGGGACUUGUUGAGAUCACGGAGUCUAACCCCCCUGCUCAUGGAGGGUCACCUAGAAAUAUUGCCUGGGACCAUGUCCUGUUUUGAGAAUCUCAACAGGUGUAAACUCCACUUGGUAAGUUGUUACAGUAUUUGAACAUCCUCACAAGAAAAAAGAGUGCAUUUCAGGAGAAUAGACUUCACUCUUUCAGAGAUCUGAUGGAAGAAUCCCAUGGGAUUCCAGAAGAACUGGUUGAUAUUCAGGGAUCAUCUCCUCCGAUCUCAAGAAAGGCCUAUCCUGACAAGCUGGAGAUCAAACAAAGGCAGCAGGAGGCCUGCAUGGAGGAGCAAAGAGCUCCUAACUGAAUUCAGAUAUAAAAAGGAAGUGCACAAGAUGUGGAAGCAGGGGAAAGUAAUUACAGGGUGUAUACUUGAUUAGGGUGUGUUUUUUAGAAAAACAGCAGAAGCUACUUCACAUCCAUGUUGAGUCUCAUUUUGUUGUUGUUGUUGAUUAGCUCUCAGUUGAUUAGAUCUUAAUACAUCUUAAUGGCACUUUGCUUUAGUUUCUAGGGUUCAUUCAAUCUGCUCCUGUAGCCUUUGAAGGCUUUGAAGUCUUCCUCUAAAUGCAUUAGUUCUAAGCAGAUAUAAUAGAGGUAAUCCUGUGUAUUUCUGGCUGGAAAAGUGAUGAAUAACCCACUUAAGAGAUAAUUUUGCUCAUCAAGGCAUAAGGGGGAGAAAAUGAAAUGGGAAAAGGAUAUUCAAAAGGUUAAUUAUAGGCAUAGGAAACUAGUCUGCUGUCCUUCUGGAACUGUGUCUACAUGCCUGCUAUAUUCUCCUGAAAGUAAAAACUUUUGGGUAUCAACCACCAUGCCAGUUCUUCAAUGCAGCCACAGCAGAAAAGAAAACCAGGUGCCCAUCUCAGACAGGAGAAUGAAUGACUGAUGAUCACAGUCACAACAUGUUCUAGCAAAUAAGUAUACAGUUUAAUAAUUAGAUAAAAUAAGACUUAAGUGAGCUUAUUUCAUUGUGUUCUGGAAUAUUGUUCAGUGACAUCUCCCAGGAAUGCCAGAUCAUGUGCUGAUAAUACUCUUAUUAAGCUGUUUGCAUUGACAAAUGUAAUAAGAAACAAGAUGUUGGGAAAUGAAAACGGGAGACCC
rnacentral:lncRNA from 1 species